UACUUCCAAGGAGGUAUUGCUUCCUCUUUACAGAAGAGGAAACUGCCAUUUUGAGGACCCAGAGAGCUUAUGCAGGUGCUGGGUUCUGGAUUCGGCACCCGGCCUGACUGCAUGGCCACCCUGCCUUCGGGAGGCUUCAAGCCCAGCACAGAGCCCAGUGCGGGGCUUGAACUCACGACCCUGAGAUCAAGACCUGAGCCGAGAUCAAGAGUCAGACGCUUAGCUGACUGAGCCCCCCGGGCGCCCCGAUGGCACCUGUUCUUUUUGACAAAACCUGCCACGUGCUUGUUCUCCCCCGCCCCUUUCCCCCAUACCCUAUAAUCUCAAGCUAGGAAACCUUACGUCUGGAUGACAUUCUGAAUCAACAUGAAAGAACAUUUUGUGACCAUAAAGGUCAGGUUAGUUACGUCUCUCAAAACCUUAAAGGAAGUCAUCUUGGAUGCGGGUCAGAAAAAUCUCAGCCAGUUACCACAACCUAGCGUCUACGCAGGUCCUCAGUGUGCGGCUCCAGUACCUUUCCACUAUCCCCAGUAUUGCUCGUAAAUCCAUUCUGGUAUAAAACGA